rnacentral:tRNA from 2 species
GCCCCGAUAGCCCAACAGGAAGAGGCAUCGGAUUUAAGCUCCGAAAAGUGAGAGUUCGAAUCUCUUUCGGGGCA